GAAAAGGAUCACUCUUGUGUAUUUUUCAAAAAAUAUAACUUAUACAAAAAUUAGUUCAAAAUACCAAGGGUAUUCCUAAAUUAGAGUCAAUAAUCCCAAUAUAAACAAGAUACUUAACUAUAUAUCAGUUAAGUUCUUCUUGUCUAUAUUUCCAUCAAUGGAUAUUCAUAGAGCAACUGCAACAAACCUGAUCAUACACAUAGUAUAGACAAAAGAAAAGACAAAGAAAAGGGAGCAAGAACCAACUACGGCGACCGCAGCGUGAAAUUACGUAGAGAAAUAACAUUAAAUUGAGACAUCCUGUAACAAAACCAUAAACAAACAAUGUCAAACAUAUGCAAAUGAUGCAUGAAGUUAGUGUUUUAUACAAAAGGAUAUUCACAUCCACAAUUAAUAUAUCUUUCAUGCAAUGCAAUAUGCAAUUCACCAACCAAUCACCACCAAAAUUACAAUACACGAAGGCCAAGAUCCUAGUAGGAAAGCAACCGAGAGUACAGAUAUCCUCAACAACGACAAGUAACAAUAUCAAUUGUUGUCCAAUUACUUCUAUCUGAGGUGCUUACGUAUUAAGCCCAGUCCGUUUCAGGAUUCCUCACAACCGAUCAUCAAAUGUGCAAGGGGUGUCAGAGACUGCUUAGUUUACAUGUAAGACUAUCCUGGUCAUACGAGUAAUGAACUCGAACCCUCACUAGACUAUACCACCUAAGCAAUCACUCAAGGCUUCUUGACGAAUCAUCAUCAUUACCAAGCCUAUUCAAAUCCCAAUGAUAAUUCUAUCAUUGUAUCUUUCAAUUUUCUCCAACUUCAAUUACAAGAAUGCAAUGCAUGUACAAUAAUCAAAGAUAGUCCAUUAAAUCUUUUAAUCAAGGUUUUCCAAUUUUUUAUUUCACAAACAUCACAUAAGUUAGUCGUCUCAAGCCCAAUACAUUUCUAUCAUGCCAAGUCUAAUGGACGAGCUCAAGACGCUAACUUAGUAUCCAAGAUCAUUAAGUAAAGCCCAAUUCUCCCUACACUUUCAAGUGUGUGAAUAUCCAUAGGCUCUUAUCAAAUUCAACCUUUCCAAAAAUACAACCUAAGUUAGUAGUCUCAGCCCUAAUUUCAAACUUGUGUAUUUUCCAAAUCAAUAUAACAACUAACGUAGGUAUUUCUCAUGUUAAUACAAUAUUGAAGUUAUAUAUAUUUUUUGUUUCAAUACCACCAUACAACAAUCAAUAACAUAACCAUUGCAAUUGAAAUAUUUCUGAAUUAUAACCUUGUCACAAACAUUUAGCACAUAAAACAAUAUCAAUUUAUCACAAUACUCACAUACAUACAAACAUAAUUAUGUAACAACCUUUCAUGACGAAGUAAUAACAUAAGCGAGUACCUCUCAUUAUGUUACACACAAAAAUGAAUUCAUACAAAUAUUUUUUUCAGCACAAUCAAAUAAUUAAGACUUUAUACAUUGUCAUGAAAAAGAUUAAGGACUCUUACAUGGAAAUAUGUUUCCAUGACAGUUCUAAAUCUACAAGACUCUCCGACUUUUAAGGGAAUCGGAGAGGAAAAACUUUAAUGAAAUACUCUAAGACCACAAUGGUCUUCUCCCUCACCUGGAUUUAUGUAAGCUCUUUGUCUAGCAAACAAGAUUUAUGUAAGCUCUUUGUCUAGUAAACAAACUAGCUCUUGUGUACUCAUACAUAAGCCAACAACAAAACAGACACCUAAUUAAAGUCUAUUCUACAUCAACAACUAGCAACCAAAUUAAAAUAGAUCAACACUUCAUACUUAAUAAAAGUCACUUAUUUAGAAAUAAUUCAAGUUUGUUUGUAAUAGCUUAAUCUUGAUAUCAUAAGGUUAAGAAAAAAGUGUUAAUUAAGUUCACUUCAACAUAUGGCAAUGUUAAUUAAAAACUUGUGAAAGAAAACAAUGCAAAUAAAGACUCUUAACAAUUCAUCUCACCUAAGCAAAAGAAAGAAAUAAAAGAAAAGAGGACUGCACGUCCAUAGGUAAAAUAAUAAGGCAUAAACAAAAGUGAGAAAAACUUGACAUUGCCUCUUGGAAAAAUUUACAAAAUACCUUUGGUUUUUAAUGCUCUGUGCAUAUGGCCAUGUUAUAAAAAGAAGACAAUAAAAUAGGAGGUUCACAUAACUACUUGGAAACUGAAUUGGAAAUGUGCCUAAUUGCUCUAUUAUUCAAAAAUGUUAAAGAAUGUUGUACUAAGAUAACAUGUGUGUAUUGAUGUCAAUCUCACAAAUACAAUACCUCUUUUAUCUUAUAAGUCUAUCAAAUGUUAGUGUGGCAAAUUAACGAAUUCAAGAAAACGGCACAUACAGUGUCCGCAAGAAUCAAAAGGAAAAGAAAAUAUGGCUUUUGUUCUCUAUUAUCUAACAAGUGACAACUCAUUUUUUUUUAAAGAAAACAAUUGAAAAACAUGGGUUAAGUUUCCCAAUGGAAGAAUGUUCUAAAGGCACUAUGUAUUUUCAAGCAAUAAAAGACAUAAGACUAACAAAAGAAGAUUGAAUAAUAAUAAACCUUGGGAGGAAGAGAUAUGAGGUAUGACAAGUUCUGCACUUAUUGUUUCUCUCUCAGCAGCGGCGGCACAAAGGUUUGAAAGGGAAUACAAAUCUUUUUUUUAAGUGAUAGUACUCAUAGAUAUAGACUAUUUCUAG
rnacentral:lncRNA from 1 species